AGCGAACGCUGGCGGCAGGCUUAACACAUGCAAGUCGAACGGGCGUAGCAAUACGUCAGUGGCAGACGGGUGAGUAACGCGUGGGAACGUACCUUUUGGUUCGGAACAACCCAGGGAAACUUGGGCUAAUACCGGAUAAGCCCUUACGGGGAAAGAUUUAUCGCCGAAAGAUCGGCCCGCGUCUGAUUAGCUAGUUGGUGUGGUAACGGCGCACCAAGGCGACGAUCAGUAGCUGGUCUGAGAGGAUGAUCAGCCACAUUGGGACUGAGACACGGCCCAAACUCCUACGGGAGGCAGCAGUGGGGAAUAUUGGACAAUGGGCGCAAGCCUGAUCCAGCCAUGCCGCGUGAGUGAUGAAGGCCCUAGGGUUGUAAAGCUCUUUUACCCGGGAAGAUAAUGACUGUACCGGGAGAAUAAGCCCCGGCUAACUUCGUGCCAGCAGCCGCGGUAAU
rnacentral:rRNA from 1 species